ensembl:lncRNA
UUGUCUUUUUGCCAUUUCUUGGGCCACUCCUGCGGCAUAUGGGAGGUUCCCAGGCUAGGGGUCUAAUCAGAGCUGUAGCCGCCAGCCUACGCCAGAGCCACAGCAACUCGGGAUCCGAGCAGCGCCUGCGACCUACGCCACAGCUCACGGCAACGCCGGAUCGUUAACCCACUGAGCAAGGGCAGGAAUCGAACCUGCAACCUCAUGGUUCCUAGUCGGAUUCGUUAACCACUGCGCCACGACGGGAACUCCCUAUUAUUGUUUUUUAAUCGGCAGUUUUAAUGAGCACCCCAGAUCAUUUUCAAGAAGAGAUAUCUGAGGACGACUCUUCGAAAUCCACAGUAAGCUCUUAUCUGUCUCAACGUGUUGAGUCUUCCUUGAAAACAUGGUUCAAAUAAAUUCUCAAAGAAGAAGGAGGAGGAGGAAAAGGAGGAAGAAAAAGAGAAAUGGAAGAGAGGAGCCUGUUAUUUUGAGAAAAGUGGUCCGCGGGGCAGGCGUCAGGGUUCCGGGGCUGAGCUGCUCACAUUGACCUUCUUCUGCCCAUCGCCACCACGCACUGGCGAGGCUUGAGCAGAGGGUGCCUCUGACAUUUGCCCAGCUGUUCCCACACCACCUCAACGAGUGAGUACUCUGGCAAGGGGUAUGCUCUGGCAUACCAGGCAUUUUUAGCAUCCCCUCACAGCGUCAAGUGAGCCCCAAAGCCUUGAUACCAAACAGGCGAGGCAGGACCAACUCUAGGUCCUGGGAGAGGAGGUCUUUCAGUUUUCCACCCAAGAGUGUCUGCCCCAGCAAUUACUAUCAGACACCUGCUCCCUUCACUAAGAGGAGAGGCAGGGGCCAGAGACUUAAUUUUCCCUGAUGUGGUCUUCUUAUUGCUGAUCUAGGGUGAUGGUACCAUUGGGCAUUUGGGGCCCUUUAAAUCAGCAACUGCUCAGUACAAGAGUUGAACUCUUGUAGUUUUAAGUAGUGGCUUAAAACUCACUUUGUGCCAGGCAACAGUCUAAGUAAUCCACCUGAACCAACUCAUUGCGGCUUCUCAGCCACAGCCUGAGAAAGUACUAGGAUUGUAUUAAUUUUCCAGGAGACCCAAGAUUCCAGGUAGGGCAGUCUGACUCUACAGCCAAAGUUCUUUUUUGUUGUGUUUUGUUUCUGGGAUGCACCUGAGGCAUACGGAAGUUCCCCAGCCAGGGAUCCAACCUGAGUCACAGCAGUGGCAAUGGAGGAUCCUUAACCGCUAGGCCACCAGGGAACUCCCAAAGUUCUAUAUUUGGCUCUACUGCUUGUAUGUUUUGAGGAGUCUCAGCUCUCCCUUGACUGUGGCUCAUGACCCCGAAGAGCUCCUUAGCUGUCCCUUUCUUACUUUUCCCAUCUGCAUCUUUGUUCUGCAGGAAUGAGGACCAAUCAAAGAGGAGUCCAUGUCUGGAGAAUAACACAGACAGCCUCGUGCCCUUCUUUGCGGAGGUGAGGGGUUGGGAGAACGAAAGACGCUAUAAUGAUGAGUUACUGCCUGGAUCUGAAACAGACACACCUACCAAGAUGCACGGGGCGUAGACUCAGGAGAUAAUCAGCUGACUGGUUAUCCGAAACCAAUUCCUGCCACGGAUUUGUCUUCCUAUUUUGUUUCCUUGACGUUUUUCAUGGCCGUGGAGCUGUCAUAAACAGCAGCCUGCCGUCGACUCCAUGAAAAUCCACAUCUAUCCUUUCUCUUCUUUUUUACCUCUGAGUCCUGGGAGCCUGACUCAGUCCAGAGAGGAGACAUGAGGGCACGGCCAAAGAGGAAUAUAUACAAUAUUAAUGAGCCAUUCAGAAGAAUGAAUAUUAUUAUGUGAAGGAGCUGCCUGCCAACCUCUCCCUGUGUAUAUCAACCUGCAUGCUGAGCUCUGUAACAACACGGAAUUAAGCCAAUGUCUCCUCUUUUCAGGGGUUGCUCACUCAAUCUGCUGUUAACUCUCAAUGACCAAUUGAGAAAUGAGUACUUCAUUCCCUAAAGGCAGAAGGCUUUGCUCCAUACUAUUUUUUAUGAUGUAAGAUUGAAAAUUGUUCAGAUCAAUUUAGCUGCACCCAAUAUGCCCCUACAGCUCACCAAACAAACCAGCUAUUUGGGGCGGGGAACACCUACUUCACCCAAACAGCUUCCCUGAAGGCACUUGCACAUAUCCUAAAAACAGACUUUGUUUUCAAGUUAGCCUAUCUUUCCUGGAAAAUCCCAAAUGCCAAGAAGUUGGGCAUUUUGCUGUCCCUGUGAGCUGCUGCUGAUGGGUGGCUUUUCUUUACACUGAAAGACUUUCCUAUGAGAUGCCUGCCUGUCUUUCCCUCUGACAACUGCAGUCUAUCAAGGGGAUGGUAAGAAAGAAGCCCACAGAGAGCCUUUCCAUCACCAGCACGGUCCUGGGACAGUCUGGGCAGCCAGCUGUUUCUUGCUUCUUGCUUGGCAUUUUGCUGGGUCUCAGGAAUCUUUCUGUCCUUUGCUUCCCACGAUUAGUGCUGUGUUCUGGCUGCUCUGGUAGGUUGUGACUCUGAAGGUUAAAAAAAAAAGGACUGAUUUCCACAUGGGGCCGGUAGAAUCAGUGUCACGGCUCUGCCGCCACACCUUGUAAACCUGGCCAGGCUACAAGCCUGUGUCUGUCCCUCGCGGUUCCGAGAACAAUCCUCGGCCAGCACUGACAGGAAAGGCCAUUAUGGUGGCUGAUGCUCUCACCAUCUGGAGUGGUUACAGUUGUCAGCAUCUGAGAUGACUCACGGGCGCCGAGGAAUCAUUUCACUAAUUUAAGCACUAAUCAGGAGGGAGGAAGCCGUUGCUAAGUGCUGCUGCAUGAAGAAAAUACCCCGCCAGAUGAAAAGGAAGGACCAUUGACUUGGUCUUAGCCAUUUGAAAAUAAAGUGGCUUGGGAUGUCCUUCUCGGUGGCAUCUAAUAACAGGCCAUCCCUCGUGGGAGGGGCCGGGCCAGCUUCAGGAGCGCUGGCUGGGUCUCUGGCCAGAGAGGACCCAUCCCUCCUCUCCAGGACCAGCUGUGCCCUGCGAGUCCAGGCAGUUCCCUGACAGAGUCUCAGCAGUUUGGUGUGGGAAGAGCAAUGCAAACACAUGGGGAUACAGGUUUUUUAGGUGACAUCCUCCCUUGGGUGUUUGCUCUCCUGCUGUUCCGUGCAAAUGGUGACCUCAGCAGAGGCGCCCCAUAGCUGUCAGAGGUGCCCCAUAGCUGUCAGAGUCGGGCCCUUCAGAAAGUCCCAUCAGCAGCUGGAGGCUCAGAGCUGGUCACCUAGCUCAUCCUGAAACUUAACUCUUGCCUCUGGCAGGAAUCAGCUCUGACAACCCCUUGAUUUUGGACUGCAAGCUCCAGAACUGUGAGAGAAUACACUUCUGUGAUUUGUGAUCGUUUGUUACAGCAGCCCUAGGAAAUUAAUCCAGUGGGGGACCAGCAGACCUUAUAUGUCAUGA